rnacentral:rRNA from 1 species
GAUGAACGCUGGCGGCGUGCCUAAUACAUGCAAGUCGAGCGAACAGACGAGGAACUUGCUCCUCUGACGUUAGCGUCGGACGGGUGAGUAACACGUGGAUACCCUACCUAUAAGACUGGGAGAACUUCGGUAAACCGGAGCUAAUACCGGAUAAUAUAUUGAACCGCAUGGUUCAAUAAUGAAAGACGGUUUUGCUGUCACUUAUACAUGGAUCCGCGCCGCAUUAUCUAGUUGGUAAGGUAACGGCUUACCAAGGCAACGAUGCGUAGCCGACCUGAGAGGGUGAUCGGCCCCAUUGGAACGGGGACACGGUCCAGACUCCUACGGGAGGCAGCAGUAGGGAAUUUUCCGCAUUGAGCGAAGGCCUGCCGGAGCAACGCCGCGUGAGUGAUGCAGGUUUUCGGAUCGUAAACCUUUGUUAUUAGGGCAGAACACAUGCGUACGUAACGAUGCACGUCUUGACGGUACCUAAUCAGAAAGCCACGGCUAACUACGUG